AUUGAACGCUGGCGGCAUGCCUUACACAUGCAAGUCGAACGGUAACAGGUUAAGCUGACGAGUGGCGAACGGGUGAGUAAUAUAUCGGAACGUGCCCAGUCGUGGGGGAUAACGUAGCGAAAGCUACGCUAAUACCGCAUACGAUCUACGGAUGAAAGCGGGGGAUCGCAAGACCUCGCGCGAUUGGAGCGGCCGAUAUCAGAUUAGCUCGUUGGUGAGGUAAAGGCUCACCAAGGCGACGAUCUGUAGCUGGUCUGAGAGGACGACCAGCCACACUGGACCUAAGACACGGUCCAGACUCCUACGGGCGGCAGCAGUGGGGAAUUUUGGACAAUGGGCGCAAGCCUGAUCCAGCAAUGCCGCGUGCAGGACGAAGGCCUUCGGGUUGUAAACUGCUUUUGUACGGAGCGAAACGGUCUUCUCUAAUACAGGGGGCUAAUGACGGUACCGUAAGAAUAAGCACCGGCUAACUACGUGCCAGCAGCCGCCGUAA
rnacentral:rRNA from 1 species